CCCAGUGGCCUUCUUCAAAUAAUAUCCUUCUACCUGAUUUGCAUUGGAGGCCUGUUCUUGGCCUUCUUUUAAAUCUCUUGGUUGUCGUCGGUAGAGUCCUUUUCCUUUGAUCAGCUAAACAUUGAUUCCCAUUUAUGCAUAUUUCCUUACAGCUUCAGAUUUGAUGAGUGAAGUGGAGUACCGUGUACAACUUAGAAGUGUAAAGAACUGUUG
rnacentral:lncRNA from 1 species